GCUGAGCUGGAUUUUGAACGAUGAGAACGACUCUUCAGACAGACGAGGGAUCCCGUCACAGUGGGAAAAUGAGCGCAAAGCCCCGAAGCCUGAAGCUACUGGAAGGGCUGAGGAGAAGGGGGAGACGGCAGGGGCUGGGCUGUGAAGGGGCGCAUGGGCCAGGCUCAGGCACCGGGGAGCCGCUGGGCAGAUGAGGCCUGGGAGGGAGAAGGGCCCUCCUGGCUGCUGGCAGGGCAUGGGUUGGAAGGGCGAGACUGGAGUCCUAGGAGGGGCAGGGACUCGGCCUGAGCCCCACUGUGCAGGGAAUAGGGGGCGAGUUCAUGCGGGCGUCUCAGGCUCUGGGCUGGGCCUCUGCUGUUCUCUCCUGGCGUCUCUCCGCCUGGUGGUCUCGCCCCCAGCCCUCACCUGGACCUACAGAAGCCUCCGCACUGGGCCCUCUGCCCCCACAGGCUGCCCUACCUAGGAGGCAGGGGAAUUUUUCUAAAAGUCUUUCUCUAAACCUCAGUGUCCCCAUCCAGGCUGGUGAAGCCUUAGGGCAGGGCCGGGGCCUGCUCCCCCGUCACCCAGCGCCCAGCCCUGGCUCUGGCACAGAGAUGAUGCGCCGUCACGGGAAUCCUUCAUUGAUCCCAGCCCUACCUGGCCCGGCGGCCUCACCUCCCGUGCCUCUCCUCAAGUUCCUGCUCUCCCACCGCUCUGGCCUUGAACGUGCCCUGCCUGCUCCUUCUUGCUUCCGCCUCCGCGAGCUCUUCCCUCUGCCUGGGACGCCCUCCCCUCACCCCUCUGACCAGCUCACUGUCCCACAGCUCUUAGCUUUAAGGGCCAGCCUUUCCCCAGAACAGCCCUUCCCAGCACUCAGGCUGAACAGCUCCCUUCCACGCUCCCCACCUCUCCCUGCAGAGCCUCCUCCACAGAGGCUACCUGUGAGCCCGGGGGCUGGCUCCCUACCAGGCUGCAAGCCACGCGGGGCAGAGAGCAGAGCCAGCCUGGCAGAGCAGGGAGCUGCACCUCACGCUCCUAGGCCCUUGUCCAAGGCCCUUUCCAGAGCCCUCACGGCCUCCGGGGGCUGGCAGGGCAGGGGCCCUCCCGGUGGGCCUCACAUGGGGAGUCAGGGGCCUAGGCGGGACAGGACCCCAGGCUCGCCUAGGGCUUAUACCCCCUUACCUCCCUUCUCCUUAGAGUCCCUGAGGCCUAGGAAUCCAGGGGCCUUCCAGCCACAGUCACACACCCCCACUUCUCCUCUGACGUCCCCCUACUCCCACCGAGACCCAACUCAGACAUCGCCCUCUCUCUGAAGCCAUUGCUGACCUCCAGGCAGGGUUGGUGGCCCUGCCUCAGGGUGGCCUUGUGUCACU
rnacentral:lncRNA from 1 species